GGCGGUGCGUCCCGGGGCG
rnacentral:miRNA from 1 species